UGGGGAAUUUUGGACAAUGGGCGAAAGCCUGAUUCAGCAAUGCCGCGUGUGUGAAGAAGGCCUUCGGGUUGUAAAGCACUUUUGUCCGGAAAGAAAUCCUUGGCUCUAAUACAGUCGGGGGAUGACGGUACCGGAAGAAUAAGCACCGGCUAACUACGUGCCAGCAGCCGCGGUAAUACGUAGGGUGCAAGCGUUAAUCGGAAUUACUGGGCGUAAAGCGUGCGCAGGCGGUUUGCUAAGACCGAUGUGAAAUCCCCGGGCUCAACCUGGGAACUGCAUUGGUGACUGGCAGGCUAGAGUAUGGCAGAGGGGGGUAGAAUUCCACGUGUAGCAGUGAAAUGCGUAGAGAUGUGGAGGAAUACCGAUGGCGAAGGCAGCCCCCUGGGCCAAUACUGACGCUCAUGCACGAAAGCGUGGGGAGCAAACAGGAUUAGAUACCCUGGUAGUCCACGCCCUAAAACGAUGUCAACUGUUGUUGGGAUUCAUUCUUAGUAACGUAGCUAACGAGUGAAGUUGACCGCCUGGGGAGUACGGUCGCAAGAUUAAAACUCAAAUGAAUUG
rnacentral:rRNA from 1 species